UACGGGAGGCAGCAGUAGGGAAUCUUCCACAAUGGACGCAAGUCUGAUGGAGCAACGCCGCGUGAGUGAAGAAGGCUUUCGGGUCGUAAAACUCUGUUGUUGGAGAAGAAUGGUCGGCAGAGUAACUGUUGUCGGCGUGACGGUAUCCAACCAGAAAGCCACGGCUAACUACGUGCCAGCAGCCGCGGUAAUACGUAGGUGGCAAGCGUUAUCCGGAUUUAUUGGGCGUAAAGCGAGCGCAGGCGGUUUUUUAAGUCUGAUGUGAAAGCCCUCGGCUUAACCGAGGAAGCGCAUCGGAAACUGGGAAACUUGAGUGCAGAAGAGGACAGUGGAACUCCAUGUGUAGCGGUGAAAUGCGUAGAUAUAUGGAAGAACACCAGUGGCGAAGGCGGCUGUCUGGUCUGUAACUGACGCUGAGGCUCGAAAGCAUGGGUAGCGAACAGGAUUAGAUACCCUGGUAGUCCAUGCCGUAAACGAUGAAUGCUAGGUGUUGGAGGGUUUCCGCCCUUCAGUGCCGCAGCUAACGCAUUAAGCAUUCCGCCUGGGGAGUACGACCGCAAGGUUGAAACUCAAAGGAAUUGACGGGGGCCCGCACAAGCGGUGGAGCAUGUGGUUUAAUUCGAAGCAACGCGAAGAACCUUACCAGGUCUUGACAUCUUUUGAUCACCUGAGAGAUCAGGUUUCCCCUUCGGGGGCAAAAUGACAGGUGGUGCAUGGUUGUCGUCAGCUCGUGUCGUGAGAUGUUGGGUUAAGUCCCGCAACGAGCGCAACCCUUAUGACUAGUUGCCAGCAUUUAGUUGGGCACUCUAGUAAGACUGCCGGUGACAAACCGGAGGAAGGUGGGGAUGACGUCAAAUCAUCAUGCCCCUUAUGACCUGGGCUACACACGUGCUACAAUGGAUGGUACAACGAGUUGCGAGACCGCGAGGUCAAGCUAAUCUCUUAAAGCCAUUCUCAGUUCGGACUGUAGGCUGCAACUCGCCUACACGAAGUCGGAAUCGCUAGUAAUCGCGGAUCAGCACGCCGCGGUGAAUACGUUCCCGGGCCUUGUACACACCGCCCGUCACACCAUGAGAGUUUGUAACACCCGAAGCCGGUGGCGUAACCCUUUUAGGGAGCGAGCCGU
rnacentral:rRNA from 2 species